CUACUAUGCAAAGCAAAUGUACAGAUUCAAGGUUAUCCCUAUAAAAAUUUUGUCAUUUAGAAAAGAGAAUUGCUAAAGUGAGAAAAAAAAUUCAUAUGCUCAUCAUUGCCCCCCAAAAACCCUAAACUAAAAGCAGGCAUGGGGGAGGUAAGUAGCAAGGACAGGAAGAAGGGAGCAAUUAAAUAAACGUCUUUAAAGCACACACACUACACAGUGUUCAUCAUCGGAAGUAGAGUAUAAGGCAACGUUCUCCAUAGAAAAAGGGGGAUCAGGGAGUGGGUGGGUAGCUUUACUUUUAAAUAGAAAGUUGGAAUGUGCUGGAGGAGAGUCAGGGUGGGGUGGGGCGUGUGGAGUGGAGGCGGACUGGCUGCCAGUGGAGCCCUGGGUGCAGGGCCCCGGACGUCCAGGCGCCCGCAGAGAGGGAGGGGGCAUGGCACAAUGCGACUCCGGCAGUGUUGGGGGGAGGGGGCUCACUUUGCUCCUCAACGGAGUGAAAUUCAUGUUUUUCCUUUGGAAAUAAGGGUUCCCACUCGUCCUGAUUUAGAACGUCUCAUUGGGCAUGGCCAGUGUCCAUGGUUUGGGCAGGCCAGGAGCUUGUGGUGAGAGGGGAGGGCCAGGGCGGAGCCAAGGGGCUUCAGAAGGAGGUGCAUAUGGGGCAGCAGAGCCCCUUCCUGUGGGGACAGUCGCACAAUAGGAACGGGGGUUGAGGCGGGCCCAUGACAGCGUGGGCCUCCUUUCUGCCAGAGGCCCAGGCAGGUCUGCAUCUGUGGGGCCUCUGCCUCAGUUGGCCUUACAAGUUCUUCGUGACCAGGUGGGUCUUGUAAUGCUUGGUGAGGUGGUCACUCCUCAUGAAGCGCUUCUGACACUGGGCACACUCGAAGCGUUUGUCCCCUGUGUGGGUGCGGGCAUGCCGCUGGAGCUUGUCGCUCCGUGUGAACCUCUUGCCACAGAAGAACCAGUUGCAGACAAAGGGCCGCUCGCCGGUGUGCAGGCGCACGUGAGCCCGCAGCAGGGAUGUCUUACGGAAGGUCUUGCCGCAGUCGGGGAUGUGGCACACGUGCUUCUUCUUGCCCUGCUCUCCAGACCUCUUGUCCCCGUCCUUGCAGUUGGGACACGUGCAGGCCAUGCGGCGCCGCUUUUCCCCAGGCUGGGUCUCUCCAGCCAGGGCCUGUUCCAUCUGCAGCUGGAUCUGGGUGGGGCUCAGCCCACUGAUGGUCAGGUUGUUUCCAGAUACAUUCUG
ensembl:lncRNA